rnacentral:rRNA from 1 species
GGAAUAUUGGACAAUGGGCGCAAGCCUGAUCCAGCCAUGCCGCGUGAGUGAAGAAGGCCUUCGGGUUGUAAAGCUCUUUUGUCCGGAAAGAAAAGCCUUGGGUUAAUACCCUGAGGUUCUGACGGUACCUGAAGAAUAAGCACCGGCUAACUACGUGCCAGCAGCCGCGGUAAUACGUAGGGUGCGAGCGUUAAUCGGAAUUACUGGGCGUAAAGCGUGCGCAGGCGGCUUUGCAAGACGGAUGUGAAAUCCCCGGGCUCAACCUGGGAACUGCAUUCGUGACUGUGAGGCUCGAGUACGGCAGAGGGGGAUGGAAUUCCGCGUGUAGCAGUGAAAUGCGUAGAUAUGCGGAGGAACACCGAUGGCGAAGGCAGUCCCCUGGGCCUGUACUGACGCUCAUGCACGAAAGCGUGGGGAGCAAA